CAGAUGCCAAGGAUCUAGCAGAGAGGACUUGCCAGGGAUAGUGGAGGUACCAGAAGUUACCAGAAGAUGAUGAUUGGAGCUCUGGUUGCCAUCUUGGACCAUGAUGAUGGAGAAUGUGAAGGGGUGAGCUAAAAAGAACUUGGAUUCUUCAUGACCUUGUGGUACUACCCUGCUAGCCUUGGAUUGCUUCUUGUGUCUAGACUUCAUUUACAUCCACAAAAUAUUCUACUUCUGCCUUGUGCAUGCUGAACAUUAUGAUCAACAAAUGUCUACAGAAUGAAUAACAGA